rnacentral:tmRNA from 1 species
GGGGCUGAUUUGGCGUUCGACGGGAAUAGGCGGUUAAAAAUUGCAUAUCAGUUUGAUAACACUGUAAAAAUAUCAUUAAAUUUAAAUGCAAACAAAAAUCAAUUAGCUCCAGCUUAUGCGAGAGCUGCGUAAGUUUAAUUUAAACUUUUCGGAGCAGGAUUUUUAAAUUUUCUAGUGGUUUAUUAAAUCCUUAACUUAACUAGAUAUAUUUAUCUCAAGUAUUUAGAGUGUGAUAAAUUAUUUUUUUUCUAAAUUGCUUAUAUGUUAAUUUAGAAUUUUAUUGGCAUAUAAAAAGAUUUUUAAAAUUCUUUCUUUAAGUAUGUAGAGGUUUUUAAUUUAUUAUUUUCGGACUGGGGUUCAAUUCCCCACAGCUCCACCA